CCAGAUGCGCGGGUUUACCCAGCAAUAUUCAGUAGAACUACUGUGAUGAAAAGACAGUACGGAUAAGAAGAUUUUAAAAUUCAGUCAACAACAUGAUUGCUGUCUUCUGUCUGGCCCUCAAUGUCAUACUGGUUUCAAGUUCCUCUCUCCGUGACAAAGUCCACCAGACUCCAGCUAGUUUGUACAACAACCAAGGAAAAACAGCCCUAAUCAACUGUUCACACAGUAUUGACAACUAUGAUCGAAUCCUCUGGUACAAGCAAUCGGACAGACAACUGCAGUUCCUGGGAUACAUGUUAGCAACCACUAGAGGAAACCCAGAGGCUGGCCUGGGUGUGAAGAUAGAAGGGAGUGCAAACAAAGACCAGACCUGCACAUUAACAAUAGAAGGACUCAGCCUGAGCAGCAGUGCAGUGUACUACUGUGCUGCUAGUUUACACAGUGCUACGUAUCACUGCUCCUCAGUACAAAAACCUCCUCACAGCUGUGCUCCUUCCUCGGUCUAUCAUUACUCAGAUCUGUAUGUCGAGCCAGUGGUGUGUUAA